rnacentral:rRNA from 1 species
AGUGAACGCUGGCGGUAGGCCUAACACAUGCAAGUCGAACGGCAGCACAGUAAGAGCUUGCUCUUACGGGUGGCGAGUGGCGGACGGGUGAGGAAUACAUCGGAAUCUACUUUUUCGUGGGGGAUAACGUAGGGAAACUUACGCUAAUACCGCAUACGACCUACGGGUGAAAGCAGGGGAUCUUCGGACCUUGCGCGAUUGAAUGAGCCGAUGUCGGAUUAGCUAGUUGGCGGGGUAAAGGCCCACCAAGGCGACGAUCCGUAGCUGGUCUGAGAGGAUGAUCCGCCCCCCUGGAACUGAGACACGGUCCAGCCCCCUACGGGAGGCAGCAGUGGGGAAUUUUGGACAAUGGGCGCAAGCCUGAUCCAGCCAUACCGCGUGGGUGAAGAAGGCCUUCGGGUUGUAAAGCCCUUUUGUUGGGAAAAAAAAGCAGCAGGUUAAUACCCCGCUGUUCGGACGGUACCCAAAAAAUAAGCACCGGCUAACUGCGU